rnacentral:lncRNA from 1 species
CUUGCCCAUGACAGGCUUGUGCAGAAUGAACAGAGAACAUUCAUUACGUUUAGAACAGAAGAUAUCCUCAUACUUAAUACAAAAAUAAUGCAGAAGAUAUUAUAAAAGGUAAAGAUAAAUUACCAUGGUAGUUCCUACAAGACAGACUUUCAGACAGAUGAACACAGCAUAAAGACUUUCAGAAGUUCUACACUGCUUUAACUGCAGAGAGCGUCAAAGAAAAGAGUGUCCACAAUGGAAGAGAAAGAAGAAGAGGUGAAGUUAGGGGUGACCAAUGAAAAUUCCAUCUAAGUGACUUGGGGCAACACUAUCAUGUAUAGUGUUAAUAUACAUUAACACUCAAGGAAGAAUAAAUCUGAUUAUAAUAAUGCUUGCCAUUUAUGGAGAAUCUAUCAACUGAGUGUCUUGGAAUGCUUUGUGAAAUUUAAAUCAAUUCCCACAUCACCCC